ensembl:lncRNA
UGGGAAGCCAGUUGCAGACAGUGGCUUCCUAUCACUUCAGAUCAGCUAGAUGUGGACUAGCUCCAGCAGGAAGAUGUGUAAUCACAUUAGCACAGUGCUGUGCCUGAAGGAAUAAUCCCUGCUGGAUUUAAGUACCUGCUCUGUCUGGAGAUAUUUGUCUCUUUUGCCUUGCAGUUCAGCUCCCCCAACAUCUCUGGGUUGGAAAGCAUGUGGGAGAGAAGAGAAUGAGAAUGGUCAUGACUGACUGAAGAGUCCUUUUUCCCUUAUCAGUGUGGAGCCUAGGUUUAUUGCUCCAUGCAUUUUUAACGCAAUAGACUGACUCCAAUGCACAGGCAGCUUUGAACUUCGAAGCAAGAGCUUCCUCACCUUUUCUACCCCAUAAAUCUCAGGAAUGAAACCUGUACAGAUAUUUUUGCUGUUGGCUAAAGUUUUGGUAUGAUCUCCAAACAGAAACAGCUCAUUAAGGCGUGCAUACUGCUCUGUCUACUGAAACUGCCUUCCAACCCAACAUACAAGCAUGUAUGUGUGAGUAAUAACACAGAGAACAACUCCCAGAGAGCCAAGAUACUUUCUGCUGAACAGGCAGACAGAAGAGAAAGAACAGAUGUAAUUAUCAAUCAUACACUGUCAUUAG